rnacentral:rRNA from 1 species
UAGGGAAUCUUCGGCAAUGGGGGCAACCCUGACCGAGCAACGCCGCGUGAGUGAAGAAGUUUUUCGGAUCGUAAAGCUCUGUUGUAAGAGAAGAACGUGUGUGAGAGUGGAAAGUUCACACAGUGACGGUAACUUACCAGAAAGGGACGGCUAACUACGUGCCAGCAGCCGCGGUAAUACGUAGUUCCCGAGCGUUGUCCGGAUUUAUUGGGCGUAAAGCGAGCGCAGGCGGUUUAAUAAGUCUGAAGUUAAAGGCAGUGGCUUAACCAUUCUUCGCUCUGGUACUUGUUAAACGUGAGUGCAGAAGUGGAGAGUGGAAUUGCAUGUGUAGCGGUGAAAUGCGUAGAUAUAUGGAGGAACACCGGUGGCAAAAGCGGCUCUCUGGUCUGUAACUGACGCUGAGCCUCGAAAGCGUGGGGAGCAAACAGG